GUUUAAUCUUGUGUAUUGUGUUUACAGACCACCGGCGUCCCCAUCCGGGCAUGCAAGCGCGCUCAGCUCAACAUCAUCCUGAAGAGAGUGACGGGCUUCCCUGACACCAAGUUCCUCAACGAGACCAUUUUCCCCAUCAUGUACGUCAAUGAGACGGCCACGGUUGACGACGACUCUGCCUCCCAGAUGAGGACGCUGCUGCUAAUCGUUACCGUGGUGUCCAACUUCCCCUUGCUUAUCGUGGGCAUGGGCCUCAUCCUGCUGCUGGUCCUGGU